GACCCGAUAGUUCAGUGGUAGAAUGUGUGAUUCCAGCUUCGGAAGUUCCACAAGGUCGUCCGUUCAAUCCGGGCUCGGGUCA
rfam:Sistotremastrum suecicum HHB10207 ss-3 unplaced genomic scaffold SISSTscaffold_3, whole genome shotgun sequence.